AUCCUUCGGUUCAUGAGUAUGAUGAUUGGUGCGUUCACGGACUGUCCGUGAAAGGUGCAGCCUCACUUGUUACGCCGUGCGCCUCAGCCCGUCUGACC
rnacentral:snoRNA from 1 species